UACGGAGGGUGCGAGCGGUAUUCGGAAUCAUUGGGCGUAAAGAGCGUGUAGGCGGCCGGUUAAGUCAGGUGUGAAAGCCCGGGGCUCAACCUCGGAAGUGCACUUGAAACUGGUCGGCUUGAGUUCGGGAGAGGGAAGCGGAAUUCCUGGUGUAGAGGUGAAAUUCGUAGAUAUCAGGAGGAACACCGGUGGCGAAGGCGGCUUCCUGGACCGAAACUGACGCUGAGACGCGAAAGCGUGGGGAGCAAACAGG
rnacentral:rRNA from 1 species